CGGACCGUGAGAUCGUGACCUGAGCCAAAGUCGGAUGCUUAACCGAAUGAGCCACCCAGGUGCCCCUAAGCAGCCUUAUCUUAAACUUGCUUGGGCUUCUUACCCGACUUCCUCAAAACACCAUCAUCACGUAGAGUAGCAACAGACAAAGAGCCGUGGCCUGGAAAUCAUAAAUAUGAAGUUAGUCCCAGCCUUUGCACUGUAUAGUUCUGCUUUGGCCAAGUCACUUCAAUUGUCUAUGCCUCAGUUUACUCAUCUGUAAACCUGGGUAGGUAACAGCUGGCAAAUAACCAUGCUUUUCCACCAUGUCCUCUCUGUUACCUGUGGCAGAUAUCACAAACUGAUAAGUGCUUUGCUGGCCUAAAAAUUCUUCUCCACACAGAAAAACCCUACAAUGAAUCAGAGUUGGCAUUAAAGAUGAAACAUUUUUGCCGUUCCUGUGCUGUGAGAUGUUUAAAGCCCAAAGUCAACAGAGCGAGUCUUCAUGUCUUUAUGCAUAAGCAUGGAAUAUAUUUCUUGGUUGUCGAAUAUGAUAUAUUAGAAAUUAUUUUUACUGUCAAUAUUUUCCUCAUAGCUAAACAUUUGCCCAUAGAGAUUCAUUUUUAAAAUUUUAAAUCAGUUCAUUAUACCAAGAAGUGCUAUUGGAAAACUAUAAAGGUCACAGAGACCAGAGUUUCCCUGCGUCAGAGUCAAAUCAGGAAAGAGAAACCGUACUGUAAUGUGAAUGUGAAAUUUUAAUAACAAUCAUUAAUUAUAAUAGGAUUAGAGUAUUGAGGGAUUGCCUAGUAAAAAUGAAGAGAAUAAAUUUUUAAAAACCACAGGAAUAACAUGUAAGGAGCAGCCACUACCCCUAGGGCUGUGAGCGUACCCAAAGAAGAGCCCAACUCCCCCACCCAAGCUUCUGGAGAGGGCACACUGAUGGCUCACUGGAUGGCACAGAAGUCACUGGGGGACCGCAUUGGUGGAACUUGCUGGAAAUCCACCCUCUAACCCUUGCCCGAAAUCCUGUCUCCAGGGGGCUGGGGAAAGCUACUCCUAGAAAGGUGUCUUGUGGAAGGGACUCAGCCAUUAAACUGCUUGAGCUGCCUGAUGGGGUACAGGUGAGACUCCGGCUGCUGGACGCUGCCGAUCACCCUACAGUGGGGCCAAGAGCUAGGGAAGCUGCCCAUGCUCCAGGCAGUAGGCGCCAGGGAAGCCGUGGACCUGCGGCGACCUGCUAAGAGCACGCCACGACCGGAGGAGCCACUUCGCCCUCUGGCACCCUCUACUGACAGCUUAAUAUCGUGGCAGCUGGCAAAACAGAAACAGUUAAAAGAUCGAACUCCCACGCCGCGGUGCAGGCAACGGAAGAUGGGUUUGCAGCCGAGAGGCAAACUGAUAACUGGUCUGUUCCUCUUUCCAAAGGACUCUUUGGUGUUAGCUGUUGUGUGCAACGGAGAAGUAAAUUCUCAACCCUUCUCUCUGUGGACUUAGCUUGGCUAGGCUUGGGUCACUUCUGCCUUGCCCUUAGAGAUCAGAACAAAAUUUGGCAAGUGAGACUACUCCGUGGUUUCUGAGUUGGCUUAAUUUCUCAAUAUUAUACCAGUGUCAAGAUUCACUGUUGCUAGAACUAAUACUUUUAAAAAUUAAGUAUGUCAUGAUUUGGAAAUUUGAUAUCACAGAAAUAUAUCAUGAUAGGUUAAAAUAACCUUGUCUCCAAACACUUUCCAGGUACAAAAAUAAACAACUAGAACUAUACAUGGGAAUGGAAGACCAGAGUUAGUGAAUGAAGAUAUGAAAGUGCUUUGAAAGCAAGCUGGGAGGUUUUGAUGACAACCUUUUGGCCAUUCGAAUCUUAAAGAAAUCCAGAAGGACACGUGCUGAAGAUAUAGAACCUGUUGUGGGGCUGGCCCGAUGAAGACUUGCCACAGAACAAAAGGAAAUGGCGGGUUACUGACCUGCCCUUCGGAGAGGUUCCAGAGCAAUCUUCGGGGAUCGCCCUAUGGAGCGCCUGACCGGAACCUUGAAUGUGAAGCUGUGCUUGGUGAUCUCCCAAACAGAGGUACCACGUUCACACUUCUCUAACUAGUGUCCUCGGAGAUUCCUCAUGGAAAAAAAGUGUCCCAUGGUCCA